UACAGAGGGUGCAAGCGUUGUUCGGAAUUAUUGGGCGUAAAGGGCAGGUAGGUGGUCUUGUUUGUCUGGGGUGAAAGCCUUGAGCUUAACUCAAGAAGUGCCUCGGAAACGGCAAGACUCGAGUCCUAGAGAGGGUCGUGGAAUUCCCGGUGUAGCGGUGAAAUGCGUAGAGAUCGGGAGGAACACCAGAGGCGAAAGCGGCGACCUGGAUAGGUACUGACACUCAACUGCGAAAGCGUGGGGAGCAAACAGGAUUGAGAAACCCUUACGUAGUC
rnacentral:rRNA from 1 species